rnacentral:rRNA from 1 species
UCAGACGAUGCGUCAUGCAUAUCAAUAAGCGGAGGAAAAGAAACUAACAAGGAUUCCCUUAGUAACGGCGAGUGAAGCGGGAAGAGCUCAGAUUUGAAAUCUUCAAGGUUUUACCUUGACGAAUUGUAGUUUAAAGAAGUGGUUUUCUGCUGAAGUUUUGGUAAAAGUUCUUUGGAAUAGGACAUCAUAGAGGGUGAGAAUCCCGUAUUUGACCAUUAUUUUCAGCUUUGUGAUACACUUUCAAAGAGUCGGAUUGUUUGGGAAUGCAGUCCAAAAUGGGUGGUGAAUUUCAUCUAAAGCUAAAUAUUGGCGGAGAGACCGAUAGCGAACAAGUACCGUGAGGGAAAGAUGAAAAGAACUUUGAAAAGGAGAGUUAAACAGUACGUGAAAUUGUCAAAAGGGAAGCGUUUGACACCAGUGUUGUUUUCUCGAAAAUCAAUUAAAAAUGGCUCGAUUUUGUAUUGUUGAGACCUUAAAAGCUCACUGUACAUUUUUCGUGUCUUUUUUAAUGCACUUUUCGUUUAACAAGUCAACAUCAGUUUCUUUUGUUGUAAAAGGGUCAUUGGAAGGUGGCUUUCUUUUCGGAGAAAGUGUUUAUAGCCUUUGGCCUCUGCAAUCGGAGAGACUGAGGUCUGCAGCGUAGACUCUUCGGGGUUAGAUACAUUUGUGCUAAGUUAUAGCUUUUUAUAGACAACUUGUUGACUAUAAUUAGUCUUGUAGCUUACUCGCUUAUGCUAUUUUACCUACGCUUAGGAUGUUGAACUACUGAGACAUAGA